GGGCCACCACCGGGGGGGCUGCCGGCUUUUUUUUUUUCAACAAGCGGAAAAAACCUUCCCGGGCAGGAACCUGGGUGGAUUGACCAAUUGGAACCUCUUUCUUGGUUCCGUGGGGGGGGGGGCAUGGCUUUCUUAGGUGGGGGAACGAUUUGUCUGGUUUAAUCCCAAAACAAACUUUACCUUAGCCAACUAAAUAAACCUCUCUACCUUGUCGAGGCGUCAUCUUUCCUGUUUGUCUGUGGUUUUACUGCUGUGAUAACAUUGACAGUGCUUCUUAGAGUUCUUUGACUGAUGCGCCGCACGAAACACACGAUCACUUUCUGUUAGCCCUUAUUCCCCAGCGCCUCACUCACGCUACAUUUAAAUUUCAUCGCGUAUUGACGUUCCUACUUGUCAUGAGUGGAAACCCUUUAAACCUUUUCGUGAUGGGAUAGUUAUCGAAUCUUCCCCUUGCACCUGUACUUCCAGUACCCUAGUUUAUUUUGCGUUUUUUUUAUGCCCUUUUGUCACACCGCCUUU
rnacentral:rRNA from 1 species